AUUAUCCCAACCCUAAUUUGGUUGAAAGGGUGAAUAAAAAUGUCAAAGUGGCCCUCACGAUUUUUCAUCAACGUAACCAACGGAAGUGGGACAGUGUUAUCCACGUAUUAAAUUUAGCUUUUAACAUGACCAUACACAGUGGUACUAAAUUCACACCAUCGGAAAUUUUUUUGGGAAGAAAUGUACCCCAUCCUUUACUAAAUUGUUGGGGUUUGCGUCCAGCCCUUUUGGAAACCCGAAGCCCCCGUUUGUUGGAAAAAAUGUGGGAAGAAGCAGCCGAAAAUCUGCAAAAGGUUAGAAAGAAAAUGAGUAAGUUUUAUAAUAAGGGGCGAGUGGAUAAUGUAUUUAAAAUUGGUGAUGAAGUGCUAUGCAGACAAUUUGUUUUGAGUGACAAAGUAGGGUAUCAGAGCUCUAAGUUAGAGAAUAAGUAUGAUGGACCGUAUAAGAUUGUAAAGAUUUUAGGGCCGGUUACUGUCUUGUUGGAAGAAGUUGAAAGAAAUAAUAAGGUAAAAAAGGCCCAUGUUAGUCAUUUGAAAAUGUUUGUAAGGCGGAGUUCCUAAAAUGAAUGUGGAUGACCCUUUUAGGGUGAAUAUGGCUAAAUAUUUUUAUUUUUAUUUUAUUUGGAACUUACUCUGGUAUGUUUUUUUUUUUAUAUAAUUUGUAGUUGUGGUUAUUUUUAAAAUUUUCUUUGCUGUUGAAAUUUUUUUUUUGUUCAAGGCGGAGGUUGUGGCCGGCAGGGCCACAUUUUUACUUGUAAUUUAUUUUUGUUGCUGGUCUCUAGUUUUAUAUGGUUUUUUAUUUCACGUAUUUUUACGCCUUUUUUAAUUAAUGUUAAUUUAUCUGUAAAUUUUUUUUAAUUAUAUUUGUUUCUGUUAAUUAGUUAUACGCCGUUUGGUAGCUAUCGAUUAUGAGUUUAAGAAUAUCGAUUGUGUUUCACGUAAAUACCACUUGGUGAGCGCCCGGCGGUUGGCUGAUGACGUCAGACAUUCGGCUUGCCGGGAAGAAAAAAUCAGCUGGGCCGGCGAGGGAGUGGGUGCCGAGCGACCGUGGAGGACAGAGGGAUGUGACGGUGCGGACUGGUGUGCCGGACGGCAACGGGCGACGAAGAGUAUUGGGAUGGAGGCUCCACGCUGGGCGACAGGGCAAUGGAUUGCCCUGUGAUACAGAAGUAAUCAAGGUGCUUCGUCCAGGGCAGCACUGGAAGGAGAGAUCUGUCAAGAACACACCGCCACCAGCCGUGCAACCGAAGAGGAACAUCGUAAACAGCAGCAACUUGGCCGCAACGAAGUCAUCGUCGCGGGCGCCCGGAAAACAGCAUAUUGAGGUGGGAUCGACCAAAUCGUCAGUAACAGUGGUGGACACUUAGGUCGGUUAGGGAUUAUUCUAGCACGAACUAAAAACUGUACAAGGCCCUGAACUAUUUGUUUUUGUCACCGUUCUUUGUAACCUAUGGUUUAUAAAAUCUGAGGGGCAAAAUAAAUUAUUGUCAUUUUGUAAAACGCGUUAGUUCUUUGUAUAAUAGGGCAUAAAUUGUUUAAAUUAAAAUCUGCAUUGUUGAAUACAAAUUUCAGGAAGGAUGAUGGCUCCAAGCAGAAUUUGUCUUGUCGCAGAUUGGUUGAGGUUUCUAGAAUUGAGGUAUUAAAUUAGGAUGCCGCAAAUCCAAGAGUGGACAUCAAAUCAAUGAGAUGUUUUGGUCCAAAUGUGUGAUAAAGAUAAACGCUGACUCCAUGGAACAAUGAGUAAACGAUUGACCGACGCCUCACUGCAGCUAUUAUUGAAUGUGCGAGAGCAACACACUUCUUUCUAUGUGUAUCUAGGCAGUAUCAUUUGUCUUUAAGAAUUACUGUUUCUAAUGUUAGUCGCAAAAAUUCGGGUAUCACUGUAUUUACAUCGUGGAAGAAGUCACCUGUGGGUGGAAAUGAAGUCUCAAAAGGUUUUGCACGAAUACCCUCUCGCAUAACAUUGUCAGUUGCCUUAACCACAUGCAGUCUCUCUUAUUGAUGAUCUGAAUGUUUAUCACUCUACCAAGCAUAUGUCAGAAUUUUGUGUCCGAUAUUUUUAAAACAAACAGUGUUUUUUUCGAAGCAGGUUCGGCAGUUAUUAUAUCCUCUCCAUACUUCAUAAACAGAGACUUUUUACUGUGUGAUUAUUGGGCUUUUCCCCUUCUAUGUGCUUUGUGCCAAUCAUGUGCAUUAUAGGCACCCUUUUUUAGUUUUAAAAUAAUUGAGUUUUUUUUAAAAUUAUUUUUGCUUAAAUUCUUUGCUCCCUGCUAUUUUAUCCAGCCCAGUGUACGGCCGGGCCAAUUCUUUUCAGAGUGUCCCCCCCUCCCCCCCCCACACACAAACACCAUCAGGUUCACUGCUUCGCCAAUGCUACAUUGCGACUUGGAGUGCUGUUUGAAGCGCCCCGGUCCCAUAACCCCCGCUUGCUGUCAUGUACUAAGUCUCGUUACACGAAGCCAUUUCGUAACCAAACUUGCGGGGGCAAGCAGACAUUCAGCCCCUGGUGACUUCCCCGAAGUUUCGCUAUCAGCAAGCUUGUACAACCAGCCUGGUCAAAUUCUCGGUGCGGCAGACACGUCGUGGUGUUUCGUCGCCUCGGUUCUCACGAACCUUGCAGAAUUUCCCCCGCUCUCGCCUGUCCCCUCGUCCAGAACUCAGGCCGGGUCAGUCACCGGUCAUAAACUCCCCCCCCCCCCCCUUCCUCACUGGUCCAGGGAGGUCAUAACCCACAGCCGCUCUCAAACUCUCGUCCGCACACCCUGCCGGCGACGAGAGGAAUUAAGAUGCGCCGGACUGCUAAAAGACGUAUCCGCGAUCCAUCUAGCGGAAGCGAGAGACACUAACCCCUCCCUACCAUCCUGGCUGUCCACCUGAGGGCAGCACUGUCGUGCCCAUAAGAACAAUGUUCAAGCUAAUCGACCCUCGACCUGACCGCUCGCCGGGCGAGUUCAGUUCCCCACUUCUCCGUCCAGAGCGCGCUGCCCAAGGAUGCCAACUUCGAGUGUCUAUGGCGACGAGCGCCGAUGAAUACCGAAGGCUCCUCCCCCCCCCCCCUCCUUCAAGGGAAACUUGGCCUUUUAAUUUCAUGCCCCGACCGCGCCCCGAGGUCACUUUUCUUAGGGCAGCCAACCGCGAACGUCUCCGGUCAGCUACUCUCCUGACUUACGCGAGAAUUAGAAGACCGCCGAUCAUUCAUUUGGAAUGUAGUCUACUACAGUUAAGGCCUCAAGUGCCGAGUUACUAUUUUUAGCUUUUAGUCUGCCCUAAGUAAUCGCAAGUUAAAUUUUUUUCAACUUUCUUCGUAACCAUCAUGGUUUCCAAAGCCAACCGUGUGCUACCGCGUCGGUCUACGAGGCGGCAGCCAGGCAGCUGAUUUCUCCCCGCAGUGUGCGGGUUCGAGAGCACCCCUGGAACCCAGUUCGUUCUAGAACAUCCCACAUCAAUAUUUUGGCCCAGCAGUUUCACAACACCCGAUGAAACGCUAUCGUCAUUUUACUAUCUCUCUCUUCUCGUCGUCUGCGGCUCACUAUGCUUGACCGCCAACAUAUAUACAUCAAGUCUACCUAACACCCGUGCCAGUUUAUAGACAUUUUUUUUUUAUUGUUUUAUUUUAUAUUUCUGAACUGUAAAUUUAUAAUUUCAAGUGCUAGCCAAUGCAACUAAGCAAUUUUGUGUAAUUAUAUGUUAACUUUCAUAAGUAACCCCGUUGAGGCCCUGACCUAUGGUCAAUUGUUUUUCACCUUUUUAAAAUAAUGUUGUGUUAAAUUUGUAAUAUGCAAACCAUAUAAAAAGUAUGAAAGCACUGUGAAAAUGAAAUAGAAAAUCAAUCAGAAUUUAAUCAGAAUAAAUCGAAUAGCUAGCCAACCAAACCUCGGCUUCUCAUUUAUAAGCCUUACGAACCUCUCCGCCAUCUGUAAGCCCACAGGGGCGGUAAUAAAUUCUUGUUCACCCUCCGUAGUGCCCCUCUGUAGUAUCAUUGUCUUAUUUUUUUAUUAUAAGUUUAUCUUUCCAGUAUGUUUCCAAAUUUUUGUAUCUAAGAAGUUUCUCUAAGAAAAUACUUAAUAGUAAUUAGCGCACUAAGAAGAGCCGUAACAACUGGUAGUACAGAGCGUGGUUUGGUUAUAAGCUAUAAUUCAAAAUAAAUAAUUAAUAUAUACAUAUAAAAACAAAUUAAAGUAUUUUUUGUAACCUAAAUUUUGAUGUACUAUUUAAUUUUUUGUAAGUCAUGAGCUGGCACACCUCGUCCCCUUUAUUAUUAAUUUUAUCGUUGGCCAAUAUUAAAUUUUUCUCGUCGGGCUGCAGCGCGCGGUCUACGAGGCGGCAGCCAGGCGCGCCACGCCGCGUCAGCCGGGCGGGCAGGGUGUUUGUUAUCUUCGUAACGCGAGUGCUACACUCCCCCCCCCCCCUGCUCGAUCCACCCGCCGCUACAGGCGUGACGUCCUUCUAACAGGGCAUUCACAUCGCCCCAGGGGCGUCCAGCCGUAAUCUCCCCUGGAACCUUGCGUUUCAGGUAGCGCGAGGCGAUUGCCCGCGACGUAAUUCUGAGAUUUAUGUCCAGUAAACCCUGGACGAUAGUAAAUUUUUACGUGAGCCACUGUUCCUAUCACUUUUUUUUAAGUUUAUGUAUAAACAAAACUAUAAGUUAAGAGUACUAUUGUAUGCUACUAAAGCUAUUACUAAUAAACACGCACGUAAUAUUUACAUAUAUAUUUUUAAUUUUCAUUUCAAGGGCUUCCCCCCCAUCACAAUAAUU